rnacentral:rRNA from 1 species
GACGAACGCUGGCGGCGUGCCUAACACAUGCAAGUCGAACGGAAAGGCCCUGCUUUUGUGCGGUGCUCGAGUUGCGAACGGGUGAGUAACACGUGAGUAACCUGUCCCUGACUUUGGGAUAACUUCAGGAAACUGGGGCUAAUACCGCAUAGGAGCUCUUGCCGCAUGGUGGGGGUUGGUAAGUUUCGGCGGUUGGGGAUGUACUCGCGGCGUAUCAGCUUGUUGGUUGGGUAGUGGCUUACCAAGGCUUUGACGGGUAGCAUAGCUGGGCGGGGGACCGGCCCCAUUAGGCCGGAGCUACGACACAGCCUCGAACCGGAGGCAGCGGUGGAGAGUGUUACACAAUAGACGGGAGGCAGGCGCGACAACGCCACGUGCGGUAAGUGAUGCUGCGGGUAGUGUACCAAUGUCGUCUUAGACGAGACGAGAGUGACGGUAAUGGGUGAAGAAGCACCGGCUAACUACGUG